UACGAACUGUGCGAACGUUAUUCGGAAUCACUGGGCUUACAGGGUGCGUAGGCGGCUCAACAAGUCAGGUGUGAAAGCCCCCGGCUCAACCGGGGAACUGCGCUUGAAACUGUUAGGCUCGAGUCAGCUAGAGGUACACGGAACUUCCAGUGGAGCGGUGAAAUGUGUUGAUAUUGGAAGGAACACCGGAGGCGAAAGCGGUGUACUGGGGCUGGUCUGACGCUGAGGCACGAAAGCCAGGGGAGCGAAGCGGGGAGUUAGAA
rnacentral:rRNA from 1 species